UACGUAGGCAGCGAGCGUUGUUCGGAAUUACUGGGCGUAAAGGGCUCGUAGGCGGCCAACUAAGUCAGACGUGAAAUCCCCAGGCUCAACCUGGGAACUGCGUCUGAUACUGGAUGGCUUGAAUCCGGGAGAGGGAUGCAGAAUUCCAGGUGUAGCGGUGAAAUGCGUAGAUAUCUGGAGGAAUACCGGUGGCGAAGGCGGCAUCCUGGACCGGCAUUGACGCUGAGGAGCGAAAGCCAGGGGAGCAAACGGG
rnacentral:rRNA from 1 species